GAGACAAAAUGUAAGAGUUCAGGAGGCUGGAAAAGUCUGCGGUUUCAAGAGGCACCCACAGACCUUUUAAUCCCAUGUGACGCUUAAUAUCCAGCUUCUAAAACAAGCUAGCAACGUAGGCUAGAGCUUAGACCUUAGAGAAGAAAACCUGCUGACCUGAGGACCUUAGGCACGUGGCAAAACUGCUUACAAUAGUUGUGGAUCCACUGCAUUCAUGUUAGAGUCAACACUUCCUACACAAUGUCCUCAUGUAAUGAUGUAAGCUAAACAACAAUGCAGAACUCAGCAUGAAACAAAGGCUUCAUAAUGUCCUGAUAAAGCCAAACAUUACAGAAGUGGUAUUGCAGCAUUCACAAUGACAACAUCCAUCAGACCGCAGCUCAGUUUCAUGUUUGCCCUUCUCUUUUGCUUUAUUUGCACUUUUGUGAAGGGAAAAUGGUAAACAACAUCAAUAUUUUGAUCUGCUCUGUGGCUGAAAGACAGUAACAAAUUACCUCUAAAUUCCUUUUACGUCUGUUUUGUCAGACAUUUUAGAGGAAACCAACUUGGGCUACAUCUAACCACUGUUUUCAUAAUCUGCUGCUUGUCAUGUUGACUAGUCAUUUGGUCUCUAAAAUGUCAAAAACUAGUUGGUAAAAGCCCAUUACAGUUUUCUAAAGCCCAAGCUGAGUCAUUGAAUGUCUUAUUUUUCCCUCAGAUACUCAAAUUACUGUCAUGUUAAACCAAGAAAAGCAGCAAACUCUGAGGGAAUGUUUGGCCUUUUUGCUUUAAAACUGAUUGAAACAAUUAGCAGAUAAUCAAUAAUUUGUUACUUCCUAUCAAUUGAUUGAUCAUAUGUCUCUAAAGAAAUGACUAAAUGAUUGAGCAAUUAUAAAACUGGCUGCAGAUUAAUUUCCUGUCAAAUAACUGACCAAUUAUUUCACGUAUGUUCUGUCCCACAUGGGUGAGACAGUCCUGACUGGAGCUAAUAAGACUGCUAUUUAUGUUUGUGACUUAAACCCUAAAUUACAUUUGUAUUUGUUGUGACAAUGUCAGAGAGCGUUUGUUGUGAUUUACAGAAGCUUGUUUAAAAUGUUACCUAUGGUUACCGAUGUAAAAGUUUGAGGACCAGAUCUAGUCCAUGGGCCACUAGUUGAGUACCACUGGUAUUACCGAAAAAAAAAUAAAUAAAUAAAUAACAACUCUGAUGUAAUGACUCCGCCCGCCUGAACUGUUCGGGGUGAUCAAACACGCGCUCCCUCUCACAUCACUCAGCGACAUCUAGCCGCAACAUUCAGACACUAGCCAGAGCAAAAAAAAUCAACAAAGAAGUAAAAUUAACAUUUAACUGUCAUAUAUUCUGCUGUGUUAUUACAGUAACUGUUAAAAUAACGUCCAGACCUUUUAACUUUAGCUUUACAUUUAACGUUAGUUGAUGUAACGUCCGCCAGCUAGCUAACAGUUGCUAUCUACAGGUUGGCUUGCUAACGUUAGUUCAAAGUUGAUCACGGUGUAACGGCUGCGGGCGACAACUUAAUACUGAGGCGGCUAAAAGCUUCUGUUGAACUGUUCAGGCUGGUUCCUCUGGUGCAGCGGACAGAUGUCAAAAGAAAAAAAAAAAACUGCAGCUUGUGUCUUUCUGUCCUGGACAACGGCAGGUAAACAGUAUGGGAGAGCUGGUUGCAUUGGAUUUGAUCAGGAAAUUGGAGGUGACAGACCACACUGCACAGAGGGCAACAGUUCUGGCGAGGUGAUUGAGCUCUUGAGAGCUGCCCUGCACUCCCGCACAUGCAUCUGGUCCUCCGGCUGGAGCGCAGGAUGCAGCCGCCAGAAGCAAGAAAAGAGCAGCGCAAGUCGCGAGGGAGAAAUUCAU